CUCCUUAGGGAGGACAGGAUGGUUAGAGUUCCUCAAAUGGAAGGCUAGAGGGAACUGGGGUUGAGUAAAUUUCCUUUCGCCAUAUGAAAAGCUGGAGCUGAUUAGAGUUGGGUCUUUUCCUUCACCCAGGAAGGUUAGGUUCUGAUAAAGCCCCAGCAGAUUAGGCUUUGGUAAAAUAAGUUCUCCUGAGGACAGAACUUGUUAGGAAGAACAGAAUGUUCUGGUGUAUUUUAAAAUCGUUACUUUCCCCCCACCGCACCUUGCCGGAAGCCUGUGGAGAUUUUCUUCUGAUAUUCACUGAGAACCUGCCUCAAUUUCCUCUUCUGUCACUCCCAACCUCAUACUUUUGUUUGUGAGUAUCAACUGAAGUAAGAAGAUGAAUGAAGUGCCCAGAGUAAUGUCCAGCAGACCACGGACACAAAACCAAAGCUGGAUUACUUUUUCUCUCCUCUUCUCUUUUGAUGCUAAUUUUGAAGGUGACAUUGGGAGAAGAACAUCCUUUGAAACCCUGACAUUCUAGAAAUCCAGAGCUUCCUUGAGUUUCAACUAUUCUUGGAUGUAUGCAAAGUGGCCGGAAGCCAUUAGUGAUUUACUCAUUGGUCUUAACAAGCAAGCUAAUAUGCCCCCAAAGGUCCUCUUGUAACACAAGCAAAAGGAAGCCAAGGGUUGAACCAUUUAUUCUGUGAAUUUGAUUGAUGUCGACAGGCAAUCUGGACAGCUGAGGCCCAAAUGCACAUUUUUUUUCUCCUCUUUCAUGGCAGGAUUGAUUUUGGCCUGAAUCAUCUAAAUAAUUGCCUUCCCUCCCCUAAGACAUGUCUUUCAAUUUGUGGGUAUAGACAGCUAUAGAAAACAAGUAUUAUUUUAGCCUCUUCAAAACAUAGAAACUCUCAAACACAGAGAGGUUAAUUGAUUUGACAAAUGUCACACAGCUUCUCAGUUAUAAAACUGAGAGACAGCCUCCAGGUCUCCAAGCUACCCCUCUUCUCAACACAUUAAAGAAAACUGUUAUAGCUGCUUAAACACAUCCACACUUUAAAUAGAAAUAGUAACCUUUACAAUCACAUAUUUUUUCCCUUUUGGGUGUAGAAAAUUUUAGUUUGAAGCUGGUAUAAUAAUGAGGUAGUCACGUGAAAAUUUUUAUUAUGUCCAUUACCUAAAUGUCACAUUUUCUCCUAUAUUAAACUUACACUAUGUACUUAGGUAAAGCAGAAAAUAAGUGGUUGGAAAAUAAACAAAAGGCAUUAAAGUCCUUAUUUUCCUUAUCAAGUGAUAAAUACUACAAUUGGGAGUAGAAAAUUCAUUCAAUCAAGUGUUCGUGAUGGUCCUCCUGUGAGCGAGGCUCUGUGUGGUGGAAAGAAAAAGGCACCCAUUGGUGUGCCCAUCCCAUAAGAAUGAGGUGCUGCCCUGGGAAGAGAUCAAUACCUAAGAUUUGAAGGUCUAGGGCUCCUGUCCUGAGUCUUUCCCAACUAACUGGGCAGAUCCAGGACAGGAACUGGACAGACCUGUACCAAUUGACAGCCAGGUCACCACUGACUCUAAGGGAUGGAAAUUAAAGUAGCCAGCUGGACGAACAUUCAUAAGUAUUAUUUUAGGACAUAGUGAGAUAAUCUAGAAGAAACAACUUUGAAAACAGUGAAUGACUACAUGAAUUACCAUAAAAGAUGAAAAUAGGAAAAUGUACAAAAUAUACCAGGCUAUCCAUAAGAGCUACCUCAAUGGAGUCAAUGUUACGUACUCUGAGUCUAGAGAAGGAAAAAAUCCAUGUCUGCAUUAGUAAUUGGAAAAUACUCCUUGUUGGGGCUGAGUCUUAGGGUAUCACUUUCAUUUUAACCUUGUGAUAACAAAUAUUACAUUGGAGAUUCUCGUUAUAACCCCAUUAUUUCAUGAGCCUAUUAGGGAAAGGGUUAUUAGCCACAUUUUACCUUUAGGUAAUUUGAAGUCACAGUUAAGGUUAUUUUCUUGCUCAAGAUGAUGUAGCAAACUUCUCCAUAAGGAUAGGAUAUGUAACUAUAAGCAGUAGGAAUGGAAUUGACCUCUAGAGAUACGAAUGUAUGAACCGAGAGAGAAGAAAGGAAUGUGUCAUAAUAAGCCAUUGCCUCCAUUUGGUGGGGGAGGAUGCUGAACUCAAUGGGAGUCUUAGCAUGACCUGCAGAUUUUAUUUGCAGUUGUAUGUCUCCUACUCCCUUACAAGUAAUUGAAAGUUCUUACAUGGCAAGUUCUUUGCUACCUAAAGUAUUGAUUGCACUUCCUUGAGUGUUGUUUCAUAACACUGGAGCUCCGUGAAAAGUGGAAGGAUUAAACACAAGGUAGGACCCAAGAGAUCUCAAAUCUACUCUUAGUUUGGGUACUAAUUUGCUCUGUGACUUUGAGCAAGUCACUGAAUUUUCUUCAGCUCUCUUGUACUUAAAAUUGGAAUAGUACCCCUUUUCCUACUUACCUCUUAAAUGAAGAGAUUAUCCUGAGAAUGUACUAUGAUAAUACACGUUAAUACAAAGGUUAAAAUGCCACAUAAAUGCAAGAUAUCUCCUUAAGACUAUUUCUCUGAUGGCUAUAAGAAAGGAUAGUGUAUAUGAUAAUCAGUCAAUCAAAAUGUCCUGAAUACCAAAUAGGUAUUGUAGAGAGAGCAAAGAAACCUGGCCACAUCAUAACAAUUUAAAGGGGUGCAUCAUGCUAAGCAGGUGUGAUGACUAUAGACAGGUAAGCUCACACACAAUGGAAGCAUUGCUUCUUGGAGAUUAAACAGGUAAUCCACAUCUUUUAAAAUGCAACCUUUCAGAGGAAAGAAAUUUCGGUCUCACAAAGGAGGUGGGACACUACUUUGGUCUGAUAAAUUGGUAGGACAGGGGAGGGUAAGAAGAAGAGAUUAUUCCUGUAGAGAAGAGUGUAAUCUCUAUGAGGACAGGGCUUUCAUUCUAUCUCAUUCAUUGAUGUAUCCCAAGGCCAGCUACCUUGUUGAGUCACCAUAAAUACAUGGGAUUCCAUCAAUGAGGGACAGUGUGAACAAGGUAUACAUGUGAAAAUGAGCCAGUGUGCCAGGGCAAACUUAGCUGUCUUCCUGACAAGAGAAGGCUCAUGAUGGGGCUUAGUGAAAGAUAAGUAUGAACAAUCAGUUGUAGUCAAACUGAAAGUGAUGAUGCUGAAUGGAAGAUCCAAAGCCUUCUAGAUUGCAGCCAUGAAGAGUUCUAACAAACUGAAAUUUCUUGAACUGGGUGUUACGGACUCCUAGACAAGUGGUUUGUAGAUGUCUUCUGGGGAAUUCAUUAGACUCUUGCCUAAAAUGGUUUUGCACAAUUGUGUAUGUGUGUGCAUUUCUCAUGGUUGAGCUUAGCUUUCUGUCAGUUGCUUAAAAUGGUAUAUGCCAUAAAAUGGUCUAAGUGUUUCUGACUGAGGUUAUAAAAGGCCUUUAUAUGUAAUAUGUAGCUGAUUUAUUAUACCAGGAAUCAUUUUAUCACAUAUGAUUGCAUUUUGAGGAACCUUCAUAAUUAAAUAUAUCUAAUUACAAUGUAUUUAUUUAUUUUAAGUCUCUCUCUCUUUCUCUCUCUGCGUGAGUGUGUGUUUCCCAUAUUGUGAGAAUGUGAGAACAUGGACGGUGGCUCUUUAUUGCCUGUGUGGGCUAGUCUGAGCCAGGUUGUAAAUGCUUGAGCAACUUUGAGAAUAUAAAUACAUCUGAAUCCAACAAAUAAUAUACCCAAAUGAUAUAGUUUUUUCCCCCAACUCAUGAAAGCACAAUGCUUAUUAUUUCAUAAAGAUAUUUUUUCUGCUAUGUGGCUAAAUAUCUUUGGUAUUCAAAUACAUCUUCAAAUGCCUUUGAGAUGUUGUCUGUACUGAAUUCAGUUUCAAUAAGCCCUUCUUAAGGAUGUCCCAAAAUUGUCAAUGCUAUUAAGAUGAAAAUCUUAGGAAAUAUCUUCAUACCUGCUUUUUUAUCUAGGCAGAAAUAUAAGGCUUUAACACUUGAAUUGGGUGUCCCUUCCCUACAACCAGAAGUUCUAAAAAUAAAAUAUUCAGUAUGAAUUUUUCAGGUAAGAAGCCAUGCUUACCAUUAAAAUUAAAGGAAGCAGUGGGAAUAUAGUUUGGCAAUGUCCUCGGAGAACUUCAGGUGGCAGUCACCCCAGUGAGGAAGGAAUGAAAGGCCAUCAAGCAUGGUGAGAACAUGGUCACAAACACCGCUGUCUAUAAAAGUUAACCCAGAAAUAAAGGCUGAAAACUGGUUCUGAAAUGUAAUCAGUUUUAAUUCUAGCAAUUACAAAAAUGCCUUUAGAUAAAUAACUCUCAGCAAGAUGCAAGCAGCAAUAUUAGAGAUUUCUGAUGAACCUUUCACUCCUCUGAGAAAUGGAGCUUAUCCUGUCCCCAAUAAUUUCACCAGCCAAGUUUUCUAACUGGUGUCCCAAUGAAUGGAAUUCCACACGUGCCUUCUCUUCACACCCAUAAACUUAGGUCUUUCCAACAUUGUAGCUGUGGUCAACAUGUUUUGUUGCAGGAAUGAAACUCUCUAUAGCAACACAAUCGAAUCAAUGGUACAAAUAACAGUGGUGGGAAUAUCCA
rnacentral:lncRNA from 1 species